GACGAACGCUGGCGGCGUGCUUAACACAUGCAAGUCGAACGGGCCUUGUCCCCUUUUUUUUUGGGGGUGGGGUUAGUGGCGAACGGGUGAGUAACACGUGAGUAACCUGCCCCUCACUUCUGGAUAACCGCUUGAAAGGGUGGCUAAUACGGGGUGUUCUGGCCUGCUCGCAUGGGCGGGUUUGGAAAGAUUCGACCGGUUUUGGUUGGUUUGGUGGGGGAUGGGCUCGCGGCCUAUCAGCUUGUUGGUGGGGUGAUGGCCUGCCAAGGCUUUGACGGGUAGCCGGCCUGAGAGGGUGGGCGGUCACACUGGGACUGAGACACGGCCCAGACUCCUACGGGAGGCAGCAGUGGGGAAUAUUGCACAAUGGGCGCAAGCCUGAUGCAGCGACGCCGCGUGAGGGAUGGAGGCCUUCGGGUUGUGAACCUCUUUCGCCAGUGAAGAAGGUCCUGCUCUUUGUGGUGGGGUUGACGGUAGCUGGGUUAAUGAAGCGCCGGCUAACUACGUG
rnacentral:rRNA from 1 species